CAAACCUUGGCUCAAGGAACUUAAAAUAGACUGUGAUAAUUAUUUGUCUGUAUAUCUAUCCAUCCAUCCAUUUGAUUUAUAUGACCAAGUUUGCUAAUUAACUAAUUGUAGCAUUCCAGUGGACAUAUAUGUCAUCACAGAGGAAGUUAAUGAUUAAUUUUAGUCUAUUGAUAGAAAACAUUUAUUUUCAGAUGUUGUUCAGUAGGAAGCUCAGUACUGUGAUCCCUAGGAGAAGGGAAACAAACAACUUGAAUUUUCUUUGAGAAGGGAAGAGUGAA
rnacentral:lncRNA from 1 species